GGCUGCGCGGGGCGGAGCCUGUGGCCCUGGUGCGGGUCUGGGUCCGUCUUGUGGCGUCCGAGUUGUCACUCUCUCGGGUUGUUACUCUGUAGCUUCUCGGCUCGCGAAAGGGAGGACCUGUCUGGGUCAUGGAUUUUGAGAAUCUUUUCUCAAAACCCCCCAACCCGGCCCUCGGCAAAACGGCCACGGACUCUGACGAAAGAAUUGAUGAUGAAAUAGAUGAUGCAGAAGUUGAAGAAACACAAGAGGAGAAAAUUAAACUGGAGCACGAUCAAAUUCCCAAAAAAUUUAGACACUUUGGAAACUCUGCAGUAUCACCAAAAAGUUCACUGCAUAGAAAAUCAAGAAGUAAGGACUAUGAUGUAUAUAGUGAUAAUGAUACCUGUGGUCAGGAAUCAGAAGAUAAUUUUGCCAAAGAGCUUCAACAGUACAUACAAGCCAGAGAAAUGGCAAAUGCUGCACAACCUGAAGAAUCUACAAAGAAAGAAGGAGUAAAAGAUACCCCACAGGCUGCUAAACAAAAAAAUAAAAAUCUUAAAGCUGGUCACAAAAACGGCAAACAGAAGAAAAUGAAGCGAAAACGGCCUGGCACUGGAAACAAAGGAUCAAAUGCUUUGCUGAGGAACAGUGGCUCACAGGAAGAGGAUGGUAAACCUAAAGAGAAGCAGCAGCAUUUGAGUCAGGCAUUCAUCAACCAACAUACAGUGGAACGCAAGGGAAAACAAAUUUGUAAAUAUUUUCUUGAAAGGAAAUGUAUUAAGGGAGACCAGUGUAAAUUUGAUCAUGAUGCAGAGAUAGAGAAGAAAAAGGAAAUGUGUAAGUUUUACGUACAAGGAUAUUGUACCAGAGGUGAAAACUGUCUGUAUUUGCAUAAUGAAUAUCCUUGUAAGUUUUACCAUACAGGAACAAAAUGUUAUCAGGGAGAAUAUUGCAAGUUUUCUCAUGCUCCACUGACUCCUGAAACACAAGAAUUGUUGGCUAAAGUUUUGGAUACUGAAAGGAAGCCAUGUAAAUAAAAUAGACAUAGAAAGGUAGCAUUGUACAGAUGAAGAGUACUUAACACCCAUGCCUGUUCAAGACUGUUCAAGACUGGUGAUUUGGAGUAGUUUACAAGAUUCCUCAUUCAGAGUGCCCUCUUGUGUGACUGGGGUGAUGUGCAGCUUCCAUAAUGGAUGGGACAGAGAGCUGGGAUCUAAUGUACAAGUGAAGGGCUUGGUCUUCACUGAGACAUUCCAGCCAUUGGAAUAGGAGAGGAGCAUAUAUGGCAGAGAUGCUGGCUGAUGGCGAUUGUGACACCAGAACGGAGGCAGCUGUCUUAAGAUUUCAAGGGGUGCUAGCUGAAGAUAACAGAGAGGAAAGUUGGGAAGAAGCUGGAUCCUUGAUAACAGCUGAGCCAUGGACUUAACCAGUCUUAGAGAGACCCCCACCUUCAGAUUUCAUGUCAUACCACCUGAAAUAAUGUAUUUUCAUUAUUGUUCAAGCCAUUUUGAUUUGGGUUGUCUACUAUGCUACCUGCAGCCAAAGGGAAACUAAUAAAUGUGAACCAAGAAGCAAACCUACAUUCUUCUUCCCAAAGUCCAUGUUUCUUCCCCUCACCAACCUCUUCACCAAAAACUACAUUCAUUGUAUUCAGCUCCUGCAAAGAGCACACAUUAAGAAACAGGUUUAAGGAAGUGUUACACACUGAAUGUAUGCAUCCCCCAAAAUUCAUGUGGUGAAAUCCUAACUCCUAGGACUAACUAUUAGGAGGUAGGGCCUUUGGGAGGUGAUUGGGUUUUGAGGGUGGAGCCCCUCAUGAAUGGGAUUAGUGCCCUUAUAAAAGAGGUCCUGGGGAGCUGUCUCCCUUUUCCACCAUGUGAGGACACAGCAAGAAAAUGGCUGUCUACAAAGCACGACGCAGACCCUCACCAGACACUGAAUCUACUAGCACCUUGACCUCCCCCAGUCUCCAGAACUGUGAGGAAUAAGUGUCGUUGAAGCCACCUAUUCUAUGGUAUUUUUGUUACAAUAGCCCAAAUGGACUAAGAAAUGAAGAGAAAUUAAGAUGGGAAGGGCUAUUUUCAUAACAAGGAGCAGAAAACUAGAAAGAAUAGAUACAUUUAGAGGGGUUAAGAGGAAAGGGGAGAAUGUUAUAUGUUUGGGUAGGGAGGGACAAGAUGCCCAACUCAUCUUAAAAGUACUGUUGAUUCCUGAGAAAUUUGUAACACUCAUUUACAUUAUUUAAAAAUAAACUAAGAAAUUCAAACUUGUCUCGGAGGCAUGAAAAAACAAAAAAAGACCUGUUUUUAGUUACUAUAUGUUAUUCUGAACUAUACAUUAUUUAACGUCUCUGAAACUGGAAUAUAUUUUACAAUUGAUAGACUCACAUUUUAAUUAGCAGGUUAUUGUUUUCUUGGUGGUACAUAAGAAAUGGUGAAUCUUACUGAUUCAAUGACAUUUAGAUUCUAUUAAAUAUAAUUUUUAACUGAAGUACAUAGUUAAAUAAAAGUUUACUGUGAAAUAAA